rnacentral:tRNA from 1 species
UCCUGGCUGGCUCAGUCGGAAGAGCAUGUGACUCUUGAUCUCAGGGUUGUGAGUUCGAGCCCCACGGGGGGUG